GAUGAACGCUGGCGGCGUGCCUAAUACAUGCCAGUCGAGCGAACAGACGAGGAGCUUGCUACUCUGACGUUAGCGGCGGACGGGUGAGUAACACGUGGAUAACCUACCUAUAAGACUGGGAUAACUUCGGGAAACCGGAGCUAAUACCGGAUAAUAUAUUGAACCGCAUCGUUCAAUAGUGAAAGACGGUUUUGCCGUCACUUAUAGAUGGAUCCGCGCCGCAUUAGCUAGUUGGUAAGGUAACGGCUUACCAAGGCAACGAUGCGUAGCCGACCUGAGAGGGUGAUCGGCCGCACUGGAACUGAGACACGGUCAAGACUACUACGGGAGGCAGCAGUAGGGAAUCUUCCGCGAUGGGCGAAAGCCUGACGGAGCAACGCCGCGUGAGUGAUGAAGGUCUUCGGAUCGUAAAACUCUGUUAUUAGGGAAGAACAAAUGUGUAAGUAACUAUGCACGUCUUGACGGUACCUAAUCAGAAAGCCACGGCUAACUACGUG
rnacentral:rRNA from 1 species